UAGUUUUAAAAAGUGGUUUAAAUUGUGUAUUUACUUUUUCAAUAGGAUACAACCAUAAUUAAACCAAAAAGUUUAUGAAGAAGGGAUUACUGGAUUUUGUCACUUUGGUACAAGAAACAGAAAAGGAAAGCAUAGACCACCUUACUUAUACGGAAGCAUAGGAGCUGUUAAAGGAAAUUGCUGCCAGACAGUCAGCAGUUAUCACUGACAGCCUGUCCUGGCCCAGCUUGGACCAUCCUCAAGCUAAACAUGAUGGUGUGUUUGCAAGAAUUGUCCAUUUGGUAGACCAUGAUGAAGACCACCUUUGUUGUGGCAUGGCCUGAAAAUACUGUACAAGCCAGAGACCA